UACAAUGCACUCCAAGUAGCAAGUUAGCAACACGAUCGAGAAGAGCUUGAGCGUCAGGAAGGGAGAAAAAUUAGUAAGAAGACCAGCUAGAGAGAAAGAUCAUAUAUAUCUUAGAUGGGUCAGACUCAGAGUCCCUUCAUGCGACUGCCGGAGGCGGAGCAGCUACUUGGGCCAGUGGUGGCUACCAGCAGUGGCAACAGGAACAGGAAAGAGCAGUUUGGCAAGUCUACAAAGGCUAGGAACAAGUACUACAAGAAUUCAACCAAAGAUGAUUUAGUUCUUCGGGUGACGCUGGAGUCAAUCACUAGAAUCGGAUAAAACUGUAAAUCUGAUGACAAGAAGAACGUACAUGUGAUCAUGCACUGGAUCAGGGUGAUCGAUGGACAUCGACUUGACUGCUUAUACGGAGUAACUUCCAAUUAAAAGGGUGCAGCUCACGGCCGGUCCUGCUUGCCAUCUAUUUCAACCAAUAAAAGAAAUUUCCAGUACUUAAUUAAGGAGUACUGAACUAAAUUAUGUACUUGCAGAUUCGCCAUUUACUAUUGUACUAGUUCAUUGAUGUAUAUUGUACUAUAUAUAAUCGAUAUGAAGCAGCAAAUUAGAAGAAAUGAAAAAAGUGUCAUACAACUCGGCAAUCAUUUCUUUUGCCAUUCA